rnacentral:lncRNA from 10 species
UUGUAAUGUGCCUGUAAGUGAGGGAAGGAAGUUUGAAUUUUACAAGUAUGUGACCAGAGAGACAAUCAUUUACAAAAGGCAACCAGGAGGAACUCCCUUCAUCCACAAGCUUGUUAACACCAGCCCUUGGCCCCCAGUGGCCCCUCCUCUUGUGCAGAUCUGUACAGAUGUGGUUUUGUCUACAGGCAGAGCUCCCUCAUCCACAAGGAUAGGGCCCCACCCCACAUACCAGUGGCCACUUCCCACUUGUGAGUGAGGUCUAGUGCAGAAGCUUCCCAGGAACGAAGAAGCCUUGAAAGAAAGGGAGCCAGAGCAGAGACCCCGACAGGAUUCCCACUCCCGCUGCCAGCAAGUCCCUGACACCUCCAUUCUUUGUCUAGGGGGAAAUUUGGAUACACAGACAGACAUGCACAGAGAGAGCACCAUGUGAAGAUGAAGGCAGAGAAGAGGUUGGGGCGAUGUUUCCACAAGCCAAGGAAUGCCAGAGAGUGCCAGCAAACCACAGAAGCCAGAGGACAGGCAUGGAAGAGAUUCUUCCUCACAGCCACCAGAAGGAAUCAAUCCUGCCGACACCUCGAUCCUGGACUUCUAGUCUGCAGAACUGUUAGACGAUAAAUUUCAGUUGUUUAAGCCACACCGUUUGUGGUACUUUGUUACAGCAGCCCUAGAAAAUGUAUACGACUCCAACUCUCAAAGUAUUAUUUCCAGUUCAAAAUCCUCUUCUGAAUUUCGGGUUGACAAGAGAUACACAGGCUUCUCAAACUCACAUAAAGGUGUUAUUUAGCCCAAUGCCUGUACCAUAACAAGUUCUCAGUAAGAGUUAAUGCUGCUGCUACUAUUGAUGAUGAUAGUGAUGAAGUCGCAGAAAAGAAGGGGAAGAGAAGGAGCAGCAGCAGGAAGAAGAGAAUGAAUUAACUGAGUCUGGCUCCCCUCUGUGACAUACAAAAGAUGUAAACAGUCACCACAAGAUGUGUCUUUUCUAUCUUUGUACUCCCUCCAUCCAACCACUCACUGAACGUCUAAAGCACACUCAUGAUUGAAGCUUCUGAAUGUCCUUAUUGAAUGCAUUGGUAGACAACUGGUCGUUAAUCACAGAUGGACAUUCUUUAGAAGAAAUCAUAGUUCCUGGCCCCUUUGUGCAUUCAACGGGAGUGUUUAUUUGCAGUGAGGCAGUCUGAAACACAGUUUCACUGGCCAGGACUAUACUCCAUCUCGGCUGAAGAGGGAGAGGUGGCAUGAUACGUUCACAUUACAGCCGUGCCUGGGAUUUAAGUAACAGUAUUUGACUCUCAACCUACUCUUCUCCCCCAUCAGCCACACUCUUCCUCUGAUCAAGAUGAGGAGGCACAGAAUCGCAAACUAUGCCCACUUCCUUCAGAAACUGAAAUGCCCAGGUUAUUUUAAAUGGCACCAUUUAUCAAGCACCUGCUAGCUAUGUCAAAACACUGUCACACUCUUACUUUGUAUUCAUUUUUCCAAUUGAACCCACCAACCCCACUUCCAGUAUGGAAGAAGUAUUAUUAAUCUCAUUUCAAAAAUACUACCCAUUUCAUUGGUGGCUGGAGAGACUACAUUGCCUGAGGUCAUUCAGCUAGAAACUGUCAGGGCUGGGAUUUGAACCUAUGUCUCUGUGACUGGCCUACUUAGGGCCCAGCACUGGAAUUGUGCCUGGUGACUAGCUGCGGCGCAAUAAGUAUUUUGUGGGCUUACUGACUCCAAAAGCAAUACUCUUUCCACUACAUGUUGGAAACUCUCUAAAACUGGAGGAGAAGAGGUGAAAAAGACAGAAACUCAAGGCAAAAGGUCUGGGUGGCAGGAGUUUGGAUAUUGAGAGGACACUCUGCAGCAGCCUUGACCUUCAUUAUGAGUUCAAGAUGAAGAUCCCAUCCCAAAAGAACAACUUGAAGAACUGCGCCCUGUGAAAAAAAUGCUGUCGUUGUUGUUGUUUUACAGCAACAGCAUUUGCCAGUAGAUUCCAAGCUUUUUCCAUAAUUAGGCCCACUUGGGGCAAAAAGAAUCAAUCUAGGUAAAAAUCAUAUCUAAAAAUCUCAUACCUAUUACAGAAACCUAGUUUCCUUUUAGCUUAGCAGGAUUCCAUCCUGCUACCCAGGAUUUGAGGCUCUGCACUAAGCUUCAGGGAUGCAAGAACCACUAUGCUGGCUCCUGAGAUUGCUUCAUAAAAGGAUGCAUUUACCAAAGAUAAUCAGAUAGUUUAUACAAAGCAUAAGUGUGAGCUCUACCUUGAACCCAUUCUAUUUUCUUGGAUUCUAAAUCCUCACCUUUGGUCUUAAUUUUAGUCCUCUAUGGUAACCAUGGUUUCAGAAUCCUUCUUUCAAUUACUAUCAGCAGUUGCAUAAAGGAGAUGUUGGCUUUAGUCUCUUAAGCCCCAUCUGAAAUUUCUGCAGUGGUUUGGGAGCAACUCACUUUUAAAGUGAACUUCAGAUCCUGCUUUCAAAGGCACACAGUGGCUGUCAGAGCUGAGCAGUUUCAUUUUCAGGCCACUCAACGUGGCAAAGAGCUCAGGUCUAAACAGCCUUUGCCCAGGUGUGGAACCAUCUCACCUUGCCUGACUUAACUCCUCCCUGCUGGCCUCCUAGCCUCGGGCUGCUUUAACUCCAUUGUAUUUGUCAAGAAAAUGCAUUUUCCAAGCCUGCCUCAUGAACCUUGUGUCUUCUGGGUUUCCAUAAUCCUCUGGGUUAAGCACACACUUCUGACUGUGACCACCUUAACUUCUGAACUGCUAGCUCUUCCAGUCAUUCUGGGGCUCCCCUGCAAACCUUCUUUGCUUCUCCCCCUCUUUCCACCCAGGCAAAUUCUUCAAGGCCCAUCCCACACACCCUGGCCUUCCUAGCCCACAAGGAUCUCUCCCUGCCUCUGCCUAUCUACACACUUUAUUGGAGUAUUCCUUGGUAUUGCUAUUUAUCUUUGCUCAGCGCGGGCUACGUUGCCAGUCUUCGUUAUAAUUUCCCUGAGGGCAAACCCUGUCCAGUAUCCUGUGUGCCCAUAUUGUGCCUAUCCAGUGCUGGGCAGUCAAUAUUUAUGUGUUGAGCAAAGGCUCAACCUCAGAUUUUUUUCAACCUCACCCCAUUUCAUUCAGCCCACAAGGGCCUCCUCCCUUUUUCUCCUCAUCUAAUUCAGCUUCUCAAACUGCUGCCUUGACCCAGCCCAGAAAACAGCAGGGUUUUCUUGUUCAUUGGGAAGUUUUCUCAUGUAAACACCACAUCUUUAAACAACCUUCCCCUUCAAUACAGUCUCUGGCAUUCAUCCUUUUGCAAGUCUCCUAAACGCUUAUUUGAUUGUGUUUAGGUCCAUAGCAUACUCUUUACUUUGUUCAUCUCUCUCACACUGGUAGAUAGCUGAGGACAAAAACAACAUCUAUGCUUCAUCAUAGAGCCCUGAGGCCCUCACAUCCCUGGGAACUCAGGGGCCUUUCCUGAUUUGACGAUUGACAAUUCUAGGUACAGGACCACAGAAGCCUCCUCCCUCAGACAGUACUACUUCACUGAUUCUAAUCCCAUACAAACCCCCAUGGCCACACCAUGAUACCCUCCUUCUCCACACAGUCCCUCCCUCAUACCACAUCAUCAACUGUCUUUUGAAAUCCUCCCAUUGCUGACUGAUCAUAAAGUCUUUAGGCAAACACUAUUCCGAUACCUAGCACCAGGACUUCUGUUGGCUAUUUAAUUGUAGGUUAAUUAAAAUUAAGUACCAUUCAUUUCCAAUGUAGUUGCACUAGCUACAUUUCAAGUGCUCCAUAGGUACACGUGACUAGUGUCUACCGUAUUGGACAGCACAGAUACAGAACAUUUCCGUCACACAAAGGGCUCUUGGGCAGUGCUGACUUAGAGCAAGCAAGAGAAGUAAGAGGAAUCGGAAGGAUUUAUUGAGCCAGCAAGGAUCAUCUAGUUUAUUUCAAAGCUCUUAGGAAUGAGUGUACUUAAAUGCUUCAGAGAAAUAUGGUGGUUCAUUUUCCUGUUCUAUUUUAUUUUCUAUCAGUUUCAAGAAGUGUCUCUUUACCACCCUCUAGGUAACCUAUUGAAAU